rnacentral:tRNA from 1 species
CUCCUUUCUAAGGAUGGUUCUUCAGAAGCUUGCUUCUAUCGAACCGUUUUAGAAACAUCAGUGGCCAACGAUCGUCAGGAUUGUUGAGCUGCAUUGGCGGGAUUUCGCCGUCUUCGUUUCUCUUUCUUCGCGGACGAACACGCGCUGGGGCUGCAACCUUGCAGAAUCCCUGGUCCUUGACUGGAUAUGCGUUAGGGGCUUGUAGCUCAGUUGGUUAGAGCGCGCGCUUGAUAAGCGUGAGGUCGGAAGUUCAAGUCUUCCCAGGCCCACCACACUCAUCGAGUGAGCAUUCGUCUUCUGGUUACGGGGCCAUAGCUCAGCUGGGAGAGCGCGUGCUUUGCAAGCAUGAGGUCGUCGGUUCGAUCCCGUCUGGCUCCACCAGAUGGUUUGAUCAUCGACUGAUCGUGCACCUGAAUCGUCCGCGAAACAUCACUUCGCACUUACUAGUCCGGAUGGACAGUAAGCUGCGUGAUUUCUGACAUCGUAAAGAGGAGAUCGAUCCGAGUUGGAUCGGGCAACAAGCAAUUGUUGCGCGAUACUUCAUUAUCUCCGGAUCAUUUCGGCGCUCGUGCGCCUUUCAAUGUAGCUCACAAGGCUGCGUCUGAGAGACAUGCGAGUUGUAAAUGAUCCUUUUAGCGAAGCUUGACCGCCUCGCUAUCGGAACGAUCUUACGAAGCAAGCUGGUCUUUCUAAUCAUUGUCCGGCUGUGAGAAUAGCGUUCAUCGAGGACGCGCGCCGCAAG